UUGUUUAAUCGAUGAUACACGAUAGUUUUAACUCAGACCUAAUUUUUAUACCUCCGUCCAAAGGGUAAAAUUAAAUAUUUUAUUCAACCCUUACCCUUCCAAGUAACAAUGUCAGGUCAAGGUGAAGUUAAUGUUUGAGUAUCAAUGAGUUAUCAAUAAAUAUAAUUUAUGGACUUUUGCUUAAAAUCAAAAAUCGAAUUAAGAUUUAAAAGUAUUUUCAACUCAAUACACUGAAAAGAAUAAGCAAAAAAGGUGUACAUAUCGCCCGUCGCCCUCGUCCAAAGAUGAGGUAAGUCGUAACACAGUUAAUAUACUGGAAAGUGUAUUAAGCGUACCACCUCUUAGCUUUUAGUAUUUCACUUACACUGAAAAGAUGACAUUUUCUUCAACUCCAAUUUUAUUUAUAAAGUUUUCGCACUGUUAUUUAUCUAAUUUGGCACCUAAAAAACUGAAAAGGAAUAUCAUGAAAUAAUUAAAGUAAAUUUAUGUACCUUUUGUAUCAGGGAUUUUCAAACCAUUAUGUAAAUUUCAACCUCCCGAAACAAAACGAACUUCGCAACCUAGUAAAAGUUGUGGCAUAAACAAUAUAAACUUUGCGAAGUUGAGAUAUUCUUCUCAAGUCCUCCUUUAUCUGGUUCACUUCACCUCCUUUCUCUAUAUUGUGCUAAGAACAAACUUAGCACCAAAGUUUAUUACUUUUCUUCAUCCUAAUCUAGAUUUAAUAGUACCCAUAUUGUUUUUAAACUCUCUUCCCUUUCAUCCCCAAACUUACUCCCAAGUGGCUUAUUUCACCACCUCCACAAUGAAAAUAUUAGUAAAAUUUGUCCUUUUCUUCAUCUUUUAAACCCCUCCCUUUUCAUAUAUUUACAUUAAAGUUAUGAACUAGGCCCUUAAUCAAUUGACUGUUUAUCAAAAACAUAGCUAAUAGGUCCCAA
rnacentral:rRNA from 1 species